rnacentral:rRNA from 1 species
UACGUAGGGACCGAGCGUUGUCCGGAUUCAUUGGGCGUAAAGAGCUCGUAGCGGCUGUUCAAGUCGAACGUGAAAACUCGGAGCUCAACUCCGAGCCUGCGUUCGAUACUGGACGGCUAGAGUCUGGUAGGGGGAUCUGGAAUUCCUGGUGUAGCGGUGGAAUGCGCAGAUAUCAGGAGGAACACCGGUGGCGAAGGCGG